UGGGGAAUAUUGGACAAUGGGCGCAAGCCUGAUCCAGCAAUGCCGCGUGUGUGAAGAAGGCCUUAGGGUUGUAAAGCACUUUCAGUGGGGAGGAAGGCAUGAGUGUUAAUACCAUUCAUGAUUGACGUUACCCACAGAAGAAGCACCGGCUAACUCUGUGCCAGCAGCCGCGGUAAUACAGAGGGUGCUAGCGUUAAUCGGAAUUACUGGGCGUAAAGGGUGUGUAGGUGGCUAAAUAAGUUAGAUGUGAAAGGCCUGGGCUUAACCUGGGAAUUGCGUUUAAAACUGUUUAGCUAGAGUAUUGCAGAGGGUAGUAGAAUUUCCAGUGUAGCGGUGAAAUGCGUAGAUAUUGGAAGGAAUACCAGUGGCGAAGGCGACUAUCUGGGCAAAUACUGACACUGAGACACGAAAGCGUGGGGAGCAAACAG
rnacentral:rRNA from 1 species